ensembl:snoRNA small nucleolar RNA SNORA81
UCCCUCUCUCUUCCUCUCUGUAAAAAACCAAUAAAAUGCUAGCAGAGUACACACAAGAAGAAAAGUAACUGCACUAGAUGAUAAAGACUGGGGUGGACCUCUUUCUUAAUGUCCAGUGUCCUUUGUCUUAAAAUUUGGUGCAACAUGU